rnacentral:rRNA from 1 species
CAAGACAACUUUACGGAGUUGACGAUUGACGGAGCGAAGCGACGUCAAAGCGUUCAUUAAAGUCGAGUUGGCUUAGGGAUACGUUCGUUGGGUAGGGGAGCGUUCUGUAAGCCUGUGAAGGUGUGUCGUGAGGCAUGCUGGAGGUAUCAGAAGUGCGAAUGCUGACAUAAGUAACGAUAAAGCGGGUGAAAAGCCCGCUCGCCGGAAGACCAAGGGUUCCUGUCCAACGUUAAUCGGGGCAGGGUGAGUCGACCCCUAAGGCGAGGCCGAAAGGCGUAGUCGAUGGGAAACGGGUUAAUAUUCCCGUACUUGGUGUUACUGCGAAGGGGGGACGGAGAAGGCUAUGUUGGCCGGGCGACGGUUGUCCCGGUUUAAGCGUGUAGGUGUGUGUUCCAGGUAAAUCCGGUUCACUUUAACACUGAGGCGUGACGACGAGGCACUACGGUGCUGAAGCAACAAAUGCCCUGCUUCCAGGAAAAGCCUCUAAGCAUCAGGUAACACGAAAUCGUACCCCAAACCGACACAGGUGGUCAGGUAGAGAAUACCAAGGCGCUUGAGAGAACUCGGGUGAAG